AUGCGAUAAGUAAUGUGAAUUGCAGAAUUCAGUGAAUCAUCGAAUCUUUGAACGCACAUUGCGCCCGCCAGCAUUCUGGCGGGCAUGCCUGUCCGAGCGUCAUUUCAACCAUCAAGCCCCGGGCUUGUGUUGGGGACCUGCGGCUGCCCGCAGGCCCCGAAAUCCAGUGGCGGGCUCGCCGACACACCGAGCGUAGUAGCGUACACCUCGCUCAGGGCGUGCUGCGGGUUCCGGCCGUAAAACGACCCCGUCAUCACAAGGUUGACCUCGGAUCAGGUAGGAGGACCCGCUGAACUUAA
rnacentral:misc_RNA from 1 species